UACGGGGGGUGCGAGCGUUGUCCGGAAUCACUGGGCGUAAAGGGCGCGUAGGCGGCCUUGUCAGUCAGGCGUGAAAGCCCCGGGCUCAACCUGGGAACGGCGCUUGGGACGGCGAGGCUGGAGUUCGGGAGAGGAGAGUGGAAUUCCCAGUGUAGAGGUGAAAUUCGUAGAUAUUGGGAAGAACACCGGUGGCGAAGGCGGCUCUCUGGACCGACACUGACGCUGAGGCGCGAAAGCGUGGGGAGCAAACAGG
rnacentral:rRNA from 1 species